ACGAAUGUUAUGAAUUACAAUCAUAAUUAUUGCCAUUUAAAUAUGACGAAUGAUGAAAACAAUCAUUUGUUGCAUCCUCAAAUAUACUAUCAACCCUAUAAUAAUCAUAUAACUAACUACACUAGUCAACAUUUAUUGUAUAAUAUUCCUCAUAACCAUUAUAAACCAACAUGUAAUAUCGUGAUUGAUAAUGGUGCAAGCCAAAGUCAAAAUUAUUAUUUUAACCCAAAAAAAAUAAACGUAUCUGAAGAUAAACAAUGUAAUUCUAAAUUUAUUAAUAAAUCAAAUAUAAAAACAACACAUAAGUUUAAGAAUCAUGAUGUGAAUUAUACAAAGAAAUGUUGUGAAAACCCUACUCAAGAUAUCUCAGGAGUUUUGAAAACCAAAUGUUUAGUUGAUAUAAAAGAUUCUAGAUUAUCAGUACCAUUAAAAUCUUUUCCUCAUCAAAAUUAUGCAUAUAAAGAGGUAUCAAAAUUCACAAAUAAACAAGAAAACAAUAAAGGUGGCAUUAUUAAAAUUGAUAAAAAGUUAUUACUUGGUAUCAAUGCACCUUCUAAAAGACUUAACAAUACAAUAAACAUUGGAGAGCUUAUAAAAGAGGCAGAAUCAGAGGUUUUUAUAUCAAUAUUUAUUAUAUAUAAUUUAAUUAGAAUAGGUUGUGUUCACAAGUGUUUUAAAUUUUAAGGAAAUCUAAUUACAGUUUUAAAAAUUUCACAAAUAU